CCCUUAGAUGUCCUGGGCCGCACGCGCGCUACACUGACAUGUUCAACAAGCCUCCUAGUUCGACAGGAUUUGGGAAAUCUUUGAACGCAUGUCGUGAUAGGGAUAGAUCAUUGCAAUUAUUGAUCUUGAACGAGGAAUUCCUAGUAAACGCGAGUCAUCAGCUCGCAUUGAUUACGUCCCUGCCCUUUGUACACACCGCCCGUCGCACCUACCGAUUGAACGGUUUAGUGAGGGCCUCGGAUUGGUCUCGGCCCGCUCUUUACCGGGCGGCGCCGUUGGUCGAGAAGACGCUCGAACUUGAUCGUUUAGAGGAAGUAAAAGUCGUAACA
rnacentral:rRNA from 1 species